rnacentral:sRNA from 1 species
GCUGGGUGUGGUGGCGCAAGCCUGUAAUCCUAGCAACCCAGGAAGCUGAGGCAGGAGGAUUGUGAGUUCAAAGCCAGCUUCAGCAAUUUAGCAAGCCCUGAGCAACUUAGCAAGACCUUGUCUCAA